UACGUAGGGGUCGAGCGUUGUCCGGAGUUACUGGGCGUAAAGCGUGUGCAGGCGGCUCAUUGCGCCCGGCGUGAAAGCCCCCGGCUCAACCGGGGAGAGUCGUCGGGGACGGGUGAGCUUGAGGGUAUCAGGGGCUGGUGGAAUUCCCGGUGUAGUGGUGAAAUGCGUAGAUAUCAGGAGGAACACCCAUGGCGAAGGCAGCUCUCUGGCUUCAUCCUGACGCUGAGGCGCGAAAGCGUGGGGAGCGAACGGG
rnacentral:rRNA from 1 species